CCUACGGGAGGCAGCAGUGGGGGAUAUUGCACAAUGGGGGAAACCCUGAUGCAGCGACGCCGCGUGUGGGAAGACGGUCCUCUGGAUUGUAAACCACUGUCCCCAGGGACGAAGAUGACGGUACCUGGGGAGGAAGCUCCGGCUAACUACGGGCCAGCAGCCGCGGUAAUACGUAGGGAGCGAGCGUUGUCGGGAUGUACUGGGUGAAAAGGGAGCGGAGGGGGGGAUGCAAGAGGGGUGUCAAAACUACGGGCAAAACUGGUAGCAGCACUCAAAACUGCAACUCUUGAGUGAAGUAGGGGCAGGUGGAAUUCCUGGUGUAGCGGUGAAAUGCGUAGAUAUCAGGAGGAACACCAGUGGCGAAGGCGGCCUGCUGGGCUUUUACUGACGCUGAGGCUCGAAAGUGUGGGGAGCAAACAGGAUUAGAUACCCUGGUAGUC
rnacentral:rRNA from 1 species